AGCAGCGUGGCUCAGUGGAAAGAGCACAGGCUUGGGAAUCUGAGGUCAUGGGUUCAAAUCCCAGCUGUGCCA
rfam:Ornithorhynchus anatinus chromosome 5, whole genome shotgun sequence.